GAGAUUUAGAUCUUUGAACCAGUUUGUUUACCUUAAGACAGAAUAGAGCUACCACAGACAGCUUUCACAUUUCAAACAAGCUUGGGGAAGGUGGUUUUGGUUCUGUUUACAAGGGUCUAUUAUCAGACAGUACUUCAAUUGCAGUGAAACAACUUUCAUCCAAAUCAAAGCAAGGAAGCCGUGAAUUUGUGACUGAAAUAGGCAUGAUAUCUACUUUGCAACACCCAAAUCUUGUAAAACUUUAUGGAUGAUGUAUCGAGGGAGAUUCACUAUUGCUAGUUUAUGAGUACAUGGAAAAUAAUAGCCUUGCUCGUGCUCUGUUUGGCCCAGAAGAAUAUCAAUUGCAGCUUGAUUGGCCAACAAGGCACAAGAUUUGUGUUGGUAUAGCAAGAGGUCUAGCUUAUCUCCAUGAAGAAUCGACGCUGAAAAUUGUUCAUAGAGACAUCAAAGCAACCAAUGUACUGCUCGAUCGGGAUCUUAUACCAAAGAUAUCUGACUUUGGCCUGGCAAGGCUUGGUGAAGAGGAGAAAACCCACAU